GUUUUGAAGGACCUAUUUUGUGGUUAGAGGACCUAUUUUGUACCAGGUGAAAGUCUUACCAAAAGAAGCUACCAACUAGAUUGCAAGCAUGCUGAUAUCACUGGAGGAAAAAUUUAGAAAGUAAAGUUCCAGAUAUUGCAAAAUCUGGAUUUACAUCGGCAUGGUUGCCGCCAUCAACUCAUUCCUUUGCCCCGGAAGGUUACCUCCUUCAGAACAUAUAUUCCCUCAAUUCUAAAUAUGGAUCUGAGCGCCAA